rnacentral:rRNA from 1 species
GAGUUUGAUCGUGGCUCAGAGCGAACGCUGGCGGCAGGCUUAACACAUGCAAGUCGAGCGGGCGUAGCAAUACGUCAGCGGCAGACGGGUGAGUAACACGUGGGAACGUACCUUUUGGUUCGGAACAACUGAGGGAAACUUCAGCUAAUACCGGAUAAGCCCUAACGGGGAAAGAUUAUCGCCGAAAGAUCGGCCCGCGUCUGAUUAGCUAGUUGGUGAGGUAAUGGCUCACCAAGGCGACGAUCAGUAGCUGGUCUGAGAGGAUGAUCAGCCACACUGGGACUGAGACACGGCCCAGACUCCUACGGGAGGCAGCAGUGGGGAAUAUUGGACAAUGGGGGCAACCCUGAUCCAGCCAUGCCGCGUGAGUGAUGAAGGCCCUAGGGUUGUAAAGCUCUUUGUGCGGGAAGAUAAUGACGGUACCGCAAGAAUAAGCCCCGACUAACUUCGUGCCAGCCGCCGCCGUAAG